rnacentral:rRNA from 1 species
CUAUCUGCAGUCGAGCGGACAGAUGGGAGCUUGCUCCCUGAUGUUAGCGGCGGACGGGUGAGUAACACGUGGGUAACCUGCCUGUAAGACUGGGAUAACUCCGGGAAACCGGGGCUAAUACCGGAUGCUUGUUUGAACCGCAUGGUUCAAACAUAAAAGGUGGCUUCGGCUACCACUUACAGAUGGACCCGCGGCGCAUUAGCUAGUUGGUGAGGUAACGGCUCACCAAGGCAACGAUGCGUAGCCGACCUGAGAGGGUGAUCGGCCACACUGGGACUGAGACACGGCCCAGACUCCUACGGGAGGCAGCAGUAGGGAAUCUUCCGCAAUGGACGAAAGUCUGACGGAGCAACGCCGCGUGAGUGAUGAAGGUUUUCGGAUCGUAAAGCUCUGUUGUUAGGGAAGAACAAGUACCGUUCGAAUAGGGCGGUACCUUGACGGUACCUAACCAGAAAGCCACGGCUAACUACGUGCCAGCAGCCGCGGUAAUACGUAGGUGGCAAGCGUUGUCCGGAAUUAUUGGGCGUAAAGGGCUCGCAGGCGGUUUCUUAAGUCUGAUGUGAAAGCCCCCGGCUCAACCGGGGAGGGUCAUUGGAAACUGGGGAACUUGAGUGCAGAAGAGGAGAGUGGAAUUCCACGUGUAGCGGUGAAAUGCGUAGAGAUGUGGAGGAACACCAGUGGCGAAGGCGACUCUCUGGUCUGUAACUGACGCUGAGGAGCGAAAGCGUGGGGAGCGAACAGGAUUAGAUA